rnacentral:lncRNA from 1 species
GCCAAGCUUUUUUGCAUCACAUAAUGCACCUUCAAGUGUUCCUCGUAUCACAUCUUUGCCCUACUACGUCCUGAUGCCCGGUCAAAUCUCACUUUCUUUUUUUUUCUCAUUGGUAUCUAUUGAAUUCAUAGAAAAUCAAAUUUUUUCUGAUGCACGGUUGUCCAUGCAUGUCAACCUCGCAACAUGACGUCCAAUCUUUAGGAAAAUGAAAUUUGCUUAUCACUCUAGACCUUAAUGCUUUUGCCUACCAUGA